GACGAACGCUGGCGGUGUGCUUAACACAUGCAAGUGGUGCGACGAACCAGAGCUUGCUCUGGGGCAAAGCCGCGAACGGGUGAGUAACACGUGGGUAAUCUACCCCGAUGACCGGGACAACCCGAGGAAACUCGGGCUAAUACCGGAUGUGGUGCGGAGACAUAAGUCUCUUCACUAAAGGUAGCUUCGGCUUCCGCAUUGGGAGGGGCCCGCGGCCCAUUAGCUUGUUGGUGGGGUCAAGGCCUACCAAGGCAACGAUGGGUAGCUGGUCUGAGAGGACGAUCAGCCACACUGGGACUGAGACACGGCCCAGACUCAUACGGGAGGCAGCAGUGGGGAAUCUUGCGCAAUGCGCGAAAGCGUGACGCAGCAACACCGCGUGAGGGAAGAAGGCCUUAGGGUUGUAAACCUCUUUCAGAUGGGACGAAGGUUCUCCGGUGAAUAGCCGAGAGGAUUGACGGUACCGUCAGAAGAAGCUCCGGCUAACUACGUG
rnacentral:rRNA from 1 species